CUUUUAAAGGAAACAAGCCCUCCACUGGCCUUAGGAGCCACCAUCCU
rnacentral:tRNA from 1 species